UACGGGGGAGCAAGCGUUGUUCGGAUUUACUGGGCGUAAAGGGCGCGUAGGCGGCCACCGCAAGUCGACUGUGAAAUCUCCGGGCUUAACUCGGAAAGGUCAGCCGAUACUGCGGGGCUAGAGUGCAGAAGGGGCAACUGGAAUUCUCGGUGUAGCGGUGAAAUGCGUAGAUAUCGAGAGGAACACCUGCGGCGAAGGCGGGUUGCUGGGCUGACACUGACGCUGAGGCGCGAAAGCUAGGGGAGCGAACGGG
rnacentral:rRNA from 1 species